UACGAAGGGGGCUAGCGUUGCUCGGAAUGACUGGGCGUAAAGGGCGCGUAGGCGGAUGGUACAGUCAGAUGUGAAAUUCCCGGGCUUAACCUGGGGGCUGCAUUUGAUACGUGCGAUCUGGAGUGAGGAAGAGGGUCGUGGAAUUCCCAGUGUAGAGGUGAAAUUCGUAGAUAUUCGCAAGAACACCAGUGGCGAAGGCGGCUCACUGGCCCGAUACUGACGCUGAGGCACGAAAGCGUGGGGAGCAAACAGG
rnacentral:rRNA from 1 species